rnacentral:rRNA from 1 species
GACGAACGCUGGCGGCGUGCCUAAUACAUGCAAGUAGAACGCUGAAGGAGGAGCUUGCUUCUCUGGAUGAGUUGCGAACGGGUGAGUAACGCGUAGGUAACCUGCCUGGUAGCGGGGGAUAACUAUUGGAAACGAUAGCUAAUACCGCAUAAGAGUAGAUGUUGCAUGACAUUUGCUUAAAAGGUGCAAUUGCAUCACUACCAGAUGGACCUGCGUUGUAUUAGCUAGUUGGUGGGGUAACGGCUCACCAAGGCGACGAUACAUAGCCGACCUGAGAGGGUGAUCGGCCACACUGGGAAUGAGACACGGCCCAGACUCCUACGGGAGGCAGCAGUAGGGAAUCUUCGGCAAUGGACGGAAGUCUGACCGAGCAACGCCGCGUGAGUGAAGAAGGGUUUCGGAUCGUAAAGCUCUGUUGUAAGAGAAGAACGAGUGUGAGAGUGGAAAGUUCACACUGUGACGGUAUCUUACCAGAAAGGGACGGCUAACUACGUG